rnacentral:rRNA from 1 species
AGAGAGAGACAUGCGCGCAUAUCAAUAAGCGGAGGAAAAGAAACUAACUAGGAUUCCCUCAGUAACGGCGAGUGAAGCGGGAAGAGCUCAAAUUUGAAAUCUUCAAGGUUCUACCUUGACGAAUUGUAGUUUAAAGAAGUGUUUUCUGUUGGAGUUUUGGUAAAAGUUCUUUGGAAUAGGACAUCAUAGAGGGUGAGAAUCCCGUAUUUGACCAUUUACUUUCAAGCUUUGUGAUACACUUUCAAAGAGUCGGAUUGUUUGGGAAUGCAGUCCAAAAUGGGUGGUAAAUUUCAUCUAAAGCUAAAUAUUGGCGAGAGACCGAUAGCGAACAAGUACCGUGAGGGAAAGAUGAAAAGAACUUUGAAAAGAGAGUUAAACAGUACGUGAAAUUGUCAAAAGGGAAGCGUUUGACACCAGUGUUGUUUUUCUGAAAAUCAAUUAAAGAACUGUUUAUGCUAAGCUGUUUAGACUUUAUCAGCUAUCUGUUUAGUUUUGAGCUUUUCUUUAAUGCACUUUUCAGUUAACAAGUCAACAUCAAUUUCUUUUGCUGUAAAAAAGCUUGAGGAAGGUGGCUUGAGAUUCGUCUUAAGUGUUUAUAGCCUCUUGCCUAUGCAGUCGGAGAGAUUGAGGUCUGCAGCGUAGAUCCUUCGGGGCUAAAUGCAUUUGUGCUAAGUUAUAACAUUUUAUAGACAACUUGUUGACUAUGAUUUGUCUUGUAGCUUACUCGCUUAUGUUAUUUUACCUACGCUUAGGAUGUUGAUGUGAUACUGCGAGC